GUAUAUGAGGUGAUUAAUUGGAGGGCAAAUCGAGUGCCAGCAGCCGCGGUAAUACUUGUUCCAAGAGUGUGUAUGAUGAUUGAUGCAGUUAAAAAGUCCGUAGUUUAUUAUUAAGAAGCAAUAUGAGGUGUACUGUAUAGUUGGGAAAGAGAUGAAUUGUGACGACCCUGACUGGACGAACUGAAGCGAAAGCUGUACACUUGUAUGUAUUUUUUGAACAAGGACGUAAGCUGGAGGAUCGAAGAUGAUUAGAUACCAUUGCAGUUCCAGCAGUAAACUAUGCCGACGAUGUGAUAUGAGAUGUUGUAUUACAUUAUAGAAAUUAGAGUUUUUGGCUCUGGGGAUAGUAUGAUCGCAAGAUUGAAAAUUAAAGAAAUUGACGGAAGAAUACCACAAGGAGUGGAUUGUGCGGCUUAAUUUGACUCAACGCGAGGUAACUUACCAAUAUUUUAUUGUUCGGCGAGGAUAUGAUCUGAGG
rnacentral:rRNA from 1 species